rnacentral:ncRNA from 1 species
UUCUGAAGUUUCCCUCAGGAUAACUGGAGCGCGCAAUGAAGCUGUUAUAUUCGGUAAAGCGAAUUGAUUAGAGGAAUUGUGGGACGAAACAUCUUCAAUCUAUUCUGAGAUUUUCAAUGAGUAUGACGUCUCGUUUGCUUGAAUGAAACGUAGAUAUUGAACGCAUGUUUCAAGUAAGCCAUUUUUGGUAAACAGAAUUGGCGCUGUGAGAUGAAUGAAACGAAAGUUGGAA